AGGACGAUGUCGUUUACAGUUUCUUUGACCCCGAGAUCAGUGCGCUGAAGGAUAUGAUAGCAUUGAUUGCACUCGACCAUGUGGGGAUGUUUCGUGAGAUGUAUGGGGGUAUUCUGAAGAUGGUUUUCAGACUCACUGACAGAGAUAGGAGCGCCAUUCAUACUCUUCUCCAGUUCUAUGAUCCUGGUUUGAGGUGUUUUGUCUUCCCAGAUUACUUACUCGGGCCUUUGAUGGAGGAUUAUGCUGAU
rnacentral:lncRNA from 1 species